UUGCUACCACAACCCAGUUGGAUAGCCUUGGCUUCAACAAGGGUCUGCCCAAAUGACUGGGGUGGAAAUAAACAUAGAGCUGAUCAGUCUUCCUGAUUGCCUUCGUGUGCCGGAUGUACUCCGCCAAGACCCAGACAGGGCAUAGCAAGGGCUGUAGCUGCUCAGCCUCCAGGCCUCCAUCGGGAGAGGAGAGCAACUGCAGCUCAACCAACUGGGACAUGUGGAACUCAGACAGAACCUUAGGCAGGAAUGCCGGGUUGGGGAGGAGGACUAUUCCUGACCCACCUGGCAGGAACCUGCAGCAGUCACCAUGAACCGACAACACGUGGAGUGUGCUGAUCCUCCUGGCAGAGGCUAUAGCCAGCAGAAACGCUGUCUUAAGGGAAAGCCAUUUCAGACCAGCAACCCCAAGGGGCUCAAGGGGGGAUGCUGAAGUGCACCAAGGACCAAGUCCAAGUUCCAUGGAGGGACUGAAGGUACAGUCCUGUGAACUGUACGCCUCUGGGCACCCCUAAGGAAAAGGGAAAUCAAGGAACAGCCAUCCACAGUCAAGGUGUACUUGCUGACAUGAACUGCCUUGACUGCUGCCAUCAUCCCUCAAAGGGUAAUGGCAGUCUCCAGCUGGGACUGCAAGAACAGCAGGAUGUCCUGGACCAUGCCCAAGUAUGGAUCCACCUGGUGAGCCUCACACCAAGCGGAAAGUACCACCCACCGGUACGAGUAGGCAGCCCUUGUGGAUGGUGCCAAGGCCUCCUGCACAGUCCUCACUACAGGUUCUGAGGGCAGAAUGAGACCUACACACAGGGAGAAAUUCAAACCUGAUUAGCUGUGCGUAGGAGAAAUACAGUGUGCACAACUCAAGGGUCUAAGCACACCUGAAGGUUCCAUUGUUGGCCAAGUACCUUAAAUGUGUUUUUAUCUUAUUUUAUUUGAUUUUAUCUUAUUUUAUUUUAUUUGUUUUUAUCUUAUUUUAUUUGAUUUUAUCUUAUUUUAUUACUUUUAUCCUAUUGUGUCCUUCAUCGUUUUAUUGUGUUCUGUUGUGCUAUUUAUUGUGUUUUUUAUCUUGCUGUGCAGCACUUUGGAAACCUUGUGUUUGUUAAAAUCAUGCUAUAUAAAUAAAGUGGAUUGGAUUGGAUUGGAUACCUGAACCUGAUCAGAGGAGGACAUGACGAGUUUCCAGCUUUUCAGUAUUGUGUCAGAGUUGUACCUAUAGUUUUGGAGGACA